rnacentral:ncRNA from 1 species
AAAUAAAUUUUUUAUGGUUUAUAAAAUUUAUUUUGAGUUUAUUUUACAUAUAAAUUUUAGUGUUAAUUAUUAAUUAUUUAAAAAAUAUUUAAUAUUUAGGUAGUAAUUAGUUUUAAAAAAUUUAAGAAAUUAAGAUUUAGUAAUAUUAAAAUUAAUAACUAAUUUUGUGCCAGCAGUUGCGGUUAUACAAAGGUUAAUUUAAAUUUUUUUUUAGUGAUUAAUAAAUAAUUUAAUAAAAAUAAUUUAAAAUUUAAAUUAUAAGGUGAAAUUUUAAUUUAAUAAAAAAUUAUUUUUUAAAUAUGAUUUAAUAAAUUUUAUAAAAAACUAGGAUUAGAUACCCUAUUAUUAAAAAUUUAAAUUAAUAAUACUUAAAUAGUAGAUAAUUAUUUAUUAAAACUUAAAUAAUUUGGCGGUAUUUUAGUUCAUUUAGAGGAAUCUGUUUAAUAAUUGAUAAUCCACGAAUAAAUUUACUUAAUUUAUUAUUUUGUAUAUCGUUGUUAAAAAAAUAUUUUUUUAUAAAAUUAAUAUUUAAAAAUUUUUAAUUUAAAUUAAAUCAGAUCAAGAUGCAGAUUAUAAUUAAGAAUAUAAUGGAUUACAAUAAAUUUAUUUUAAUUGAAUUUUAAUGUGAAAUGAUUAAAUGAAAUUGGAUUUAAAUGUAAUUUUAUAUAAAUUUUUAAAAUGAUUAAAUAUUAAAAUAUGUACAUAUUGCCCGUCGCUUUCAUUUAUAAGUUGAAAUAAGUCGUAACAAAGUAGGGGUACUGGAAAGUGUUUCUAGAAAGAU